UGGUAAAUGACGCGUGUCCAGGAGUGCCUUGAAAGCAUUUAGUGGGGGCUCGCAGCCCCCUUUACUAG
rnacentral:tRNA from 1 species